rnacentral:rRNA from 1 species
AGUAACGCGUGAGGAACCUGCCUUUCAGAGGGGGACAACAGUUGGAAACGACUGCUAAUACCGCAUAACAUAUGUUUGUCGCAUGGCAGAUAUAUCAAAGAUUUAUCGCUGAGAGACGGCCUCGCGUCUGAUUAGCUAGUUGGUAGGGUAACGGCCUACCAAGGCGACGAUCAGUAGCCGGACUGAGAGGUUGGCCGGCCACAUUGGGACUGAGAUACGGCCCAGACUCCUACGGGAGGCAGCAG